GGUCCUUCGGGGUCAGCGUUUAUUAGAUAAAGAACCAACAUUUUGGUGCUUCAUGGUAACCAUUCGGAUCGCACGCUCAGCGGCGAUGGUUCAUUCAAGUUUCUGACCUAUCAGCUCUCGACGGUCGGGUAGUGGCCCACCGUGGCUUUGACGGGUAACGGGGAAUUGGGGUUCGAUUCCGGAGAGGGAGCCUGAGAAACGGCUACCACGUCUAAGGAUGGCAGCAGGCGCGUAAAUUACCCAAUCCCGACACGGGGAGGUAGUGACAAGAAAUAGCAACGCGAGGCAUAUGUCUUGUGAUUGCAAUGAGUAGAAUCUAAAUGUUUCUACGAUUAACAAUUAGAGGGCAAGUCUGGUGCCAGCAGCCGCGGUAAUUCCAGCUCUAAUAGCGUAUAUUAAAAUUGUUGCAGUUAAAACGCUCGUAGUUGAAUAUCUGUCUCCUAAUUGCUUGGUCCGCAAUGCGAGUACCAAGCAUUAGAGGCAUCCGUUUGCAUAUUUGAUUCUAUCGAAUUUGCAAACCGUUCACUUUGAGGGAAUUAGAGUGUUCAAAGCAGGCGUCAGCCUUGAAUACUUCAG
rnacentral:rRNA from 1 species